GAGGUGAAAAGCCGGAAGGUUUGCGUUCAUGCGAACACCGGACGGGGUGGCACCGGCUUUCCCGGUGGCUUUCAGCAAGUCCCGAAGAGCUGCCGGGCUGCGCACCGGGCAGCUGGCGGGAGGGUCGUAAAUCGCUGCGGAGAGGAGUCGGCGUGGUCAGCAGAGUUUGGUCAGGCCGUGGUCUGGGGGGCAGCUCCUCCCUUAAGAUGAAGGUGAUGAAACCGUAGGCAACGCACAGGCAUGCGGAAAUAUGUCAAGCAGAGAGAGAGAAUCGGACCAGACUUUCAUCUCUUCCUUAUCAUUGUCGUUACAGAGCAAGUUUGAGUAAGUUUACGCUUGUUACAUAACAUGUCCAGAUCCCUCUGACCAACGGGACUGGCUGCCUAUUCAGUAAUGUAGGUGGACGUGUGCGUGGCACCCACGCUCACGCCAAAAUGUUGCCUGCGUGAGAGGAGACUGCGGGAGUGAUAGGGGAAGGAACGCAGUAUCUCACUUCGGCACACGAAGUUUACCUAUAGAUCAACAGUCAAAUGCAAUGCUCUUUCAAGAAGGUUUUUAAAAGUCUCAACAAAAGAGUGUGAGAAAUUAAUUUUGCCCUUUGACUCAAUGGCACAAGUCGAAAAUCAGGGCUUUAGACGAGGCUGCGGGGCUGAAAGGGAAAUACACGCUGCUCAAGCGGUUGCACAAAGCAGGAAUAAAAAGGCAGGCUGAGCGAGAGAGAGAAGCGGAAAAAAAAAAUCAUAGAGAAACGGCUUGAAACUGAGAGACUCUAAAUCAUUCAGCCAUGGCAAAUUCAAACACACAAAGGAGGGGAUGCUAAAUUAACAGUGCUUUUUACAUAGAGCCCAAAUAAAACUGUAAUCAGCGACGCGUUACUUUUCAUUAAGCGAGUUUGACAGCAGCAUAUUCAGCCUCGACAAGGGAACAGGAGCGAAGAAAUAUACGGCUCUCCCAGCCCGAGUCAUAAGAUAAUUCCUUAAGCUCCAUUAACAACUCUUAGCCGCAGGAAAUGGGCUCCCUGAAAACAUCUCCAAAUCUAAAAGCUUUAUCGACCUCUCAAACCUCUGCUGAUGGUUCUAUUUUUUUUAUUAAAAAAAAAACUUAGAGGCGAGACGUCCAGCAAGGUAAUAGACUUUGACACAACACCUUCUUAACUAGAGUGAGAGAGGCAGGAAAAAUGAGACCUUAAAUGAUAUUUAAAAGGCAGCCAAUUAAGAUUUAAAAUGAUUGUCUCCUGAGAUUAUGCAUGCGAUUUAUGUCAUCUACUUUUUUCCCCAGGCGUGCAUGCAAAAUUGCAAUGGGGCAUGCUGCCCUUUCCUUAAAUAACAACAACAACAACAACAACAAAGGAGUAGCAAUUAGCAAUUGUAAGUGUUAAUUUAGGGAAAGGUUGGUGCUUUGUUAAUCUGAUUAUAGAGCACCUUGCAAUGGCCAUCUUAUUUAUAGAUGUCUAAUUAAAAGACAACUAAAACAUUACAUCCUUUAUCCGUUAAUGUUUAGGAGCACUUUUCAUUCCUAAUUCACUUUGCACUAUUAAAACGAUGUGACCAGGUCAUCAUCACAGAACCCAGUGAUACUUCCCAUCAGCCACACAAAGAGAAGCGUUCAAGAAGCGUUCAAGAAGAGCCUUGGAGGAAGCUGUUUUUCGUGGACAUGCUCAUGGCACAUCACAGAUCCUAGAAGUGUGACAUAUGGUAUCAAUUCCUCCUAUGUGUGAGGAUGUUUUAACUCAUAUUUAAUGUCAAAGAGGCUGAGAAGUGCUUAGGACUUGUGAAAAGGGUUCCAGUCAUACUCCUUGUCAAGUUGCAUCACUGCAGAAAAUAAUUCCAGGCUUCUGGUCCUCCAAAAAGCAGUUUUAAUACACACAUGCACUACAUAGGUCAGAGAGUGUUUUAAUACCCAGGAAGUCAGUCUCCCAUACUGUGUAACUAUCCAUCAAAGUCUUCGCUUGGUCAAGAACCUGAAGAUACAUUCAACAUACCCUGAAAAAGUGAAAGGAAACAUGGAAGCAUUUCAAAAGCAAAAGAUGAAAAUUGGUUCCCUGUGUCCCCCCAUCCUAUUGAGAAAUGGACAUGGAAGAAAGGAGGAAGCCUCCAUGCAAGUUGGAGUGAGUGUACAUAUGAUAGCAAGUCCCACUGAUAUUCUUUCCACAGUGUGGAACAGAGUCUGAGCAUAAGUGCUGCACCUCGCCUACUCAAGAGCUAUUUUCUGUCCAUUCUAGUUUAAGGAGAGCAUGAAAAAGAAGGAAAGAAAUGUCUUGAAGGAAAUUAUUCUCUUUAUGUUCUCCCUUUUUCCUCUAACAUGAAUAUGUGAAAAAUAUUUUUUUUCUUAUUGGUUUGUCUGGAUACAAAUGUGAGUGUAAAAAUCCUUUCUCUUCUCAGUCUUAUCUUUAUUUUCUUUCUCCAUAUAAGCAUGUGAUAGUUUACAUUUUGAACUGAAGGUAUUUUUGUUGCAGUUGGCAUUUUGUCACUUGUUUCCAUAGGAUCAUAAUCAGGUCUUUUCUCAAAGAACACCUCAAAAUUUGUUUCUGAAAUCCUGCCAAAGGUGACAAUGGCGAUCAAAUGGGACUGAGAAAACACUUAUCUACAACAUUGUUCCUUUAAUUCAUUUGAUAUCUAUGGAAUGUUAAAAGCCAAAAAAUAAUUUAAAACAAUUUCCUAUAUGUAUUCUAUUGUGAAACAGCAUUAAUACUUGUGAACACAAAACACUUGCUGGAAAAUAAAGCUGAAAAUUCGAA